rnacentral:rRNA from 1 species
GGCCUACGGGAGGCAGCAGUAGGGAAUCUUCCACAAUGGACGAAAGUCUGAUGGAGCAACGCCGCGUGAGUGAAGAAGGGUUUCGGCUCGUAAAGCUCUGUUGGUCGUGAAGAAAGCUAGAGGUAGUAACUGGCCUUUAUUUUACGGUAAUUACUUUGCAAGUCACGGCUAACUACCUGCCCGCAGCCGCGGUAAUACGUAGGUGGCAAGCGUUUUCCGGAUUUAUUUGGCGUAAAGCGAGUGCAGGCGGUUCAA